rnacentral:rRNA from 1 species
UACAGAGGGUGCUAGCGUUGUUCGGAAUCAUUGGGCGUAAAGGGCGUGUAGGCGGUUUGUUAAGUCAUGUGUGAAAUCCCUCGGCUCAACCGGGGAAGGACGCAUGAAACUGGCAAGCUAGAGUACCAAAGAGGGGGGUGGAAUUCCUGGUGUAGCGGUGAAAUGCGUAGAGAUCAGGAAGAACACCGGUGGCGAAAGCGCUCUGCUGGACCUUAACUGACACUGAGGGACGAAAGCUAGGGGAGCGAAUGGG